rnacentral:rRNA from 1 species
UACGGAGGGAGCUAGCGUUGUUCGGAAUUACUGGGCGUAAAGCGCACGUAGGCGGCUUUUUAAGUCAGGGGUGAAAUCCCGGGGCUCAACCCCGGAACUGCCCUUGAAACUGGAGAGCUAGAAUCUUGGAGAGGCGAGUGGAAUUCCGAGUGUAGAGGUGAAAUUCGUAGAUAUUCGGAAGAACACCAGUGGCGAAGGCGACUCGCUAGACAAGUAUUGACGCUGAGGUGCGAAAGCGUGGGGAGCAAACAGG